rnacentral:snoRNA from 1 species
AUUGCUCAAAAUUAUGAUGAUACCAUUGAGCUUCAGUCAUUAGUGGACCCCAGACUGCUAAUAGCACA